GGCGAAAAGAACCCCGGGAGGGGAGUGAAAUAGAUCCUGAAACCGUGUGCAUACAAACAGUAGGAGCCUCCUUGUGGGGUGACUGCGUACCUUUUGUAUAAUGGGUCAGCGACUUACAUUCAGUGGCAAGGUUAACCGAAUAGGGAAGCCGUAGAGAAAUCGAGUCCGAACAGGGCGAUAGUCGCUGGGUGUAGACCCGAAACCAAGUGAUCUACUCAUGGCCAGGAUGAAGGUGCGGUAACACGCACUGGAGGU
rnacentral:rRNA from 1 species